rnacentral:rRNA from 1 species
ACGUAGGAGGCAAGCGUUAUCCGGAUUUACUGGGCGUAAAGCGUGUGUAGGCGGUUCGGCAAGUUGGAUGUGAAAGCUCCUGGCUUAACUAGGAGAGGUCGUUCAAUACUACCGAACUUGAGGGCAUCAGAGGAAGGUGGAAUUCCCGGUGUAGUGGUGAAAUGCGUAGAUAUCGGGAGGAACACCAGUGGCGAAGGCGGCCUUCUGGGAUGUUCCUGACGCUCAGACACGAAAGCUAGGGUAGCGAACGGGAUUAGAGACCCCGGUAGUCCUAGCAGUAAACGAUGUAGACUUGGUGUCGGAGGUGUCAAAACCUUCGGUAUCGUAGCUAACGCGAUAAGUCUACCGCCUGGGGACUACGGCCGCAAGGUUA